AUUGAACGCUGGCGGAAUGCUUUACACAUGCAAGUCGAACGGCAGCACGGGGGCAGCCCUGGUGGCGAGUGGCGAACGGGAGAGUAAUACAUCGGAACGUGCCCGGUCGUGGGGGAUAACGUAGCGAAAGUUACGCUAAUACCGCAUACGAUCUGAGGCUGAACGGGGUGGACCUUCUGGCCUCGCGCGAUCGGGGCGGUCCAGGUGGCAUUAGAUAGUUGGUGAGGUAACGGCUUACCAAGGCGACGAUGUAUAGCUGACCUGAGAGGGCGACCGGCCACACUGGGAGGGAGACACGGCAGAGACUCGUACGGGAGGAAGCAGUAGGGAAUCUUCGGCAAUGGACGAAAGCCUGACCGAGCAACGCCGCGUGAAGGAAGAAGGUUUUCGGAGCGUAAAACUCUGUUGUUAGAGAAGAACAAGGACGUUAGUAACUGAACGGCCCCUGACGGUAUCUAAACAGAAAGCCACGGCUAACUACGUG
rnacentral:rRNA from 1 species